rnacentral:rRNA from 1 species
CUUGCUCCCAGAUCUUAGCGGCGGACGGGUGAGUAACACGUGGGCAACCUGCCCUGCAGACUGGGAUAACUCCGGGAAACCGGAGCUAAUACCGGGUAAUACAUCGCACCGCAUGGUGCAAUGUUGAAAGUUGGCUUUCUGAGCUAACACUGCAGGAUGGGCCCGCGGCGCAUUAGCUAGUUGGUAAGGUAAUGGCUUACCAAGGCAACGAUGCGUAGCCGACCUGAGAGGGUGAUCGGCCACACUGGGACUGAGACACGGCCCAGACUCCUACGGGAGGCAGCAGUAGGGAAUCUUCCGCAAUGGACGAAAGUCUGACGGAGCAACGCCGCGUGAGUGACGAAGGCCUUCGGGUCGUAAAGCUCUGUUGUUAGGGAAGAACAAGUACCGUUCGAAUAGGGCGGUACCUUGACGGUACCUAACCAGAAAGCCACGGCUAACUACGUGCCAGCAGCCGCGGUAAUACGUAGGUGGCAAGCGUUGUCCGGAAUUAUUGGGCGUAAAGCGCGCGCAGGCGGUCUUUUAAGUCUGAUGUGAAAGCCCACGGCUCAACCGUGGAGGGUCAUUGGAAACUGGAGGACUUGAGUGCAGAAGAGGAGAGUGGAAUUCCACGUGUAGCGGUGAAAUGCGUAGAUAUGUGGAGGAACACCAGUGGCGAAGGCGGCUCUCUGGUCUGUAACUGACGCUGAGGCGCGAAAGCGUGGGGAGCAAACAGGAUUAGAUACCCUG